UCUCUCUUUCUCUCUCUCUUCUUCCCUCAACAAUAUAAAGAGAUCGGGAUUGGGGUUGACAGGAAGAGACGAGGUCGAAGCAGGUAAUGGUUAGAUUUAAUUGUGGGGAUUUGGUUAAAUGGAGUUUGGUCGCUUGAUUGGGUUCAUGAUUGAUGUCGUGGACAGGAGAAUAGUCGGAGGAAGCGAAGAAGGGGAAGAUGGGGAGGUCAGUUUGGAGGCUUGAUCAUGUGAGCUACGGCUUUGCAAUGAGCUAGCUCCUAUGAUUGCCUCCGAUCCAACAAGAAAGGUUGGAAGACUUGCGGUUGAGGGCAUUCGAGAAAGGAGAUAUGUUCAUGGGUUUGGGUUCGGAGGAGGCAAAGAUGGACGUGUAGUGAUUUUGGUUGAGGAGAAAGAAGGAUUGUGGAGAGAUGCUUGUGUGCGGGAAAACAACAACCCCAUGAAGCUUCACUUUGCUUUGGUUUUAAUGACGAGGGUGGCUACGGAUUGCAAAAAAUUGAGCAGGAAUUAUGGAGAUGAGACUGGAGCAGCGCCGAUCUGUAUGAGGUAAGCAGAAUUUUUGGGAUUCUUGGCAGACCCUCAGAGGAAUUUCAGCAUAGGAAAUUCAUACUCCUGACUGCUGAAGACUUCAAAUCAGAUUAGAUUAAGGUCCCAUCAUGAGAAAAUCUUGGUACUUGAUAAUCUAGUUUGCUAUUUGGGGUGACUUGAUUUGUGCUUUGGCCACUUCGACAACUCCAAAUACCAAAUUAGUGAUCAUCCUCCUUUGGUUUGUCCUGAAAUGACUACUAUAAUCCAAGGGAGUUUGAACCAAAUUCAUGGGAAGAUACAAUGAAAGAUGAGGUGGACCAAAGCAAGUAUCCUCACAUGCCUUGGUAUGAUUUCCAGUGUGCUCUUUGGGGACCACCUUGUAGGGAUGUUGCAAGACACUUUGUUCAAUGCUAGAAUUAUGCAAAGUUUGAUUCACCUUCAAGGUUCUUCGAUUAAUUAUGUAUGUUAUUUUGGCACAGAUUAUAAUAGUUUUCUUAUUUGUAAAGAAACAAAGCUACAUGAGGAGACGAUUCCUCUGCUAAUCCCUCAUCAUCAUAUGGUUAUUCCUCAUUAUAUGGGACAAAGCAGAGAAGUUGGAUUC